ensembl:lncRNA
UUCCCUCAAGGACACUUCUGGGCUGGAACACAAACAAUUAACAGAAAGACGUGAGAUUCUUGACAUCUUCCUUUUUCCACAAGAUAACUUGGGACUGAUGAAGCCCAGAGAUGUGUGAGCUGCCAUCCAUGGCUCAUCUGGCCCAUGACGGCCCCCAGGCGACAGCUGUCACCAGCAGAGCAGACCUCCUGCUCCUGGCUGCGGUUACCAUUGGGCUGAGGCCAGCUAAUGAGGACAUUAUCAGAUCAGUGUCUUCAGCCUGACACAAGCCUAGCCGCCAGCACAACUGAUUCGACCUUUUCCCACCUGCUCUCAAGAUGAACGACCAGGAGCUUCACACAAUAUAGUCACAGGAGAAGGGAGGUCAUGGAUAUUGUAUAUUAUUCCCAGGAAAUGAAUAGCUUCAGAGAUGAAAAAGGAAGCCAGUGUGAGUCAUGAUGUGCAGCAUUGUAAAAUUUC